GUCCACGCCGUAAACGAUGGGCACUAGGUGUGGGAGGUGUCGACUCCUCCCGUGCCGACGCUAACGCAUUAAGUGCCCCGCCUGGGGAGUACGGCCGCAAGGCUAAAACUCAAAGGAAUUGACGGGGGCCCGCACAAGCAGCGGAGCAUGUGGUUUAAUUCGACGCAACGCGAAGAACCUUACCUGGGUUUGACAUGUUGGUGACCGGUGUGGAAACACACCUUUCCUUCGGGACACCAUCACAGGUGGUGCAUGGCUGUCGU
rnacentral:rRNA from 1 species